rnacentral:sRNA from 1 species
UGGAAACUUGUAUUCUUUUUAUACACAGAUCAGAUACACAAGAAUAUGCACCAGUGAAAGUUUCCCCACACAUUGUCCUGCCAAUGUGCCUCAGCCCUGACCGAGCAGGAAGGGUAAUUUAAUUAUUGUCCUCUUUGUUGAGGCUGCU